CCCAGUGAGAAAGACACCUUUUCUCUUGGCCUCCUGUGGAAUCUCCAUAGCGUCUUCCAAAUAUACAUUAAGGUGUCCUUUCGAGCUAGAGAGCAGUGAAGAUGCGUACGGCAGACGUGACAAUGAGCGCAGUGGAUGCCGUGACUGACGGGAGAAGCAUUCUGCCAGAAGAUGCCGAAGGGUGGCUCCGGGGGCCUGGAGCGGGGACGGGACCCAGAGCUGUUAAAGAGAACACAGUCGUGGACACGUAAGUGGCGGUGUGGACGGAGCAUCAGCCGUGUGAACAGCAGCAGUCAGUCAGAGCCUACUGAGAUACCUCUCAGUGAAAACCUCAGAAAGCUUUGAGAAACGACAUGGGACAAAAUGACAAGAGAAGGGAAGAGUCACCAAGCCACCGAGGCUGAACUCAUCGCUCGGGGCGCACUUCAGGUCUGGAUCAUGCAAGUUUGCAGACCCUCCUCUGUUUUCUGAGACGACUACAGGCGUGAGUGCUGUCUUUGUUCUUUUUAAAGAAGAUUUACUUAUUAAGUAUAGAAUGGUCUGUCUGCAUGCAUGCCUGCAGGCCAGAAGAGGGCACCAGAUCUCAUUACAGGUGGUUGUGGAACACCAUGUGA